CGAGCGCACUGGCCCAACUGAUAUGACGUGCUUGCACUGAAUUGACGUUGGAUUCCCAGUGAGCGGCGGACGGGUGAGUAACACGUGGGCAACCUGCCCUGAAGCGGGGGAUAACAUCUGGAAACAGGUGCUAAUACCGCAUAACAACGAAAACCACAUGGUUUUCGUUUCAAAGAUGGUUUCGGCUAUCACUUCAGGAUGGGCCCGCGGUGCAUUAGCUAGUUGGUAAGGUAACGGCUUACCAAGGCGAUGAUGCAUAGCCGAGUUGAGAGACUGAUCGGCCGCAAUGGGACUGAGACACGGUCCAUACUCCUACGGGAGGCAGCAGUAGGGAAUCUUCCACAAUGGGCGCAAGCCUGAUGGAGCAACACCGCGUGAGUGAAGAAGGGUUUCGGCUCGUAAAGCUCUGUUGUUGGAGAAGAACGUGCGUGAGAGUAACUGUUCACGCAGUGACGGUAUCCAACCAGAAAGUCACGGCUAACUACGUGCCAGCAGCCGCGGUAAUACGUAGGUGGCAAGCGUUAUCCGGAUUUAUUGGGCGUAAAGCGAGCGCAGGCGGUUGCUUAGGUCUGAUGUGAAAGCCUUCGGCUUAACCGAAGAAGUGCAUCGGAAACCGGGCGACUUGAGUGCAGAAGAGGACAGUGGAACUCCAUGUGUAGCGGUGGAAUGCGUAGAUAUAUGGAAGAACACCAGUGGCGAAGGCGGCUGUCUGGUCUGCAACUGACGCUGA
rnacentral:rRNA from 1 species